GUUGAUCCUGGCUCAGGAUGAACGCUAGCGGCAGGCUUAACACAUGCAAGGUCGAGGGGCAUCGGGAGUAGCAAUACUUGCCGGCGACCGGCGCAAGGGUGCGUAACGCGUGAGCAACAUGCCCGUAUCAGGGGGAUAAUCCAUGGAAACGUGGUCUAAUACCCCAUAGUAAUUAUGUAAGGCAUCUUAUAUAAUUUAAAGCUUUGGUGGAUACGGAUUGGCUCGCGUGACAUUAGCUGGAUGGUAAGGUAACGGCUUACCAUGGCUACGAUGUCUAGGGGUUCUGAGAGGAAGGUCCCCCACACUGGAACUGAGACACGGUCCAGACUCCUACGGGAGGCAGCAGUGAGGAAUAUUGGACAAUGGAUGGAAAUCUGAUCCAGCCAUGCCGCGUGCAGGAAGACGGCCCUAUGGGUUGUAAACUGCUUUUGUAUGGGAGCAAUAAGGGCUACGUGUAGUCCGAUGAGAGUACCAUACGAAUAAGCACCGGCUAACUCCGUGCCAGCCGCCGC
rnacentral:rRNA from 1 species